UUCUGCCCAUGGUCAUCCGCACCUGCACGACUUAGGGUCCAUGUUCCUUGGACGGGAAGAGACAGGCAGGAGUCGGAAUGAUGAACCAGCACACUGGGGCGUUUUCUCAUGUAGCCCAAGUGACCCCAUGGUCUUCUCGAGCUUUGGAACCAGUCGCGUCCCCUUUGACACUGCACCCGGCUCCCAGUCUCUCAAUCUUGUUGGCCCUCCGGCGAUCUCCCGUUGGAUGAAUUGCUCCUGCUGAAACUCCAGUCCCCUUUGAUUUGCGCUUCAUUAAUUAUUCAUGAUUCAGGUUGGAAGGCCUGCUGACGACCCCCUGUGGCCGUUCUCUGAGCUUUCCUGUCACAUCGUUUCCUUCCACGCUCUUUGGUUCCUUAUGGUCCUGCUCCCUCUGCUGUCAGAGGAGCAGAGAGUUGAUCUUAUUCAUUCUGGAUACGGAUACUUUCUAGGUGAUCUGGAUAAUCAAGAUAACGACCCUCAACAGCGGCGGAGAGGGAGCAGCCAGUUGGUGUGUCUCAGAAAAUCCCACUGAGUUCCGAGGCCUCCUAGAUGUGGAAUCCUGCUGAGAGUUGUUCCCAGGUCAGAGAAUGGAGAGAGCCUGUGCAUGAUGGGAUAUCCCUGCCUAGAUCUUUCAGUGAGUCUCUACCUCAGCUACUCUUAGGAUCAGGGGGAGAACCAUGGUGUCAGACAUCCGGAAAGAAGACGGGAUGAAUGUUUUACCUCUGAAGUACAUCCCAAAUGUGGGAGUUAACUUCAGCUUUGCUGGGGUCUAUUUGGCCAGUGAAACUCUGCCUGGUUCCUUCGCACAUCCGGAAGCCACUUCACGGGGGGCCGUCGCAACUGGAACCACACACUUGGCAUCGGCGGUUGAGCCAAAUGGGGACUCGUGGUGCAAGCAACGCUCCCCACGUGUUAGCGUGCGUGAGAUGCGGUUGGCGGGAUUUUACUAGGUGCGUGUUGGUAGAGUGGGGCUGAGGUUUUCUUGCUCCUGUGGAUGUAUAGCAAGUCAAAGGUCCUGCCCAGCCCUGCGGUCCCCUCAGUCAACUCUGUUUCGGAGACGUAACGAUUUGGAUUGCCAACAAGUCAAGAAAUGUUCAAGCCCUUGGAUGUAGGGUAAAGAAAGAGAGAUCAGACUGUCACUGUGUCUAUGUAGAAGGGGAAGACAUAAGAGACUCCAUUUUGAAAAAGACCUGUAGUUUAAACAAUUGCUUUGCUGAGAUGUUGAUCAUUUGUAGCUUUGCCGCAGCCCCUUCCUUUGACCCAACUUGGAGCUCACAAAAACCUGUGUUGUAUAAAAUCGAGGUUUAAGGGAUCUAGGGCUGUGCAGGACGCGCCUUGUUAACCAAAUGUUUACGAGCAGUAUACUUGGUAGGAGUCAUUGCCAUUCCCUAGUCUCAAUAAACCAGGGGCGCAAUGCACCGUGGAAAGCCACAGGGACCUCUGCCCUUGAAAGCAGGUUAUUGUCCAAGGUUUCUCCCCAUGUGACAGUCUGAAAUAUGGCCUCGUGGGAUGGGAAAGACCUGACUGUCCCCCAGCCUGACACCCGCAAUGGGUCUGUGCUGAGGUGGAUUAGUCAAAGAGGAAAGCCUCUUGCAGUUCAGAUGGAGGAAGGCCACUGUCUCCUGCUUGCCCCUGGGAACUGAAUGUCUCGGUGUAAAGCCCGAUCGUACAUUUGUUCAACUCUGAGCUCGGAGAAAAGCUGCCCUGUGGCGGGAGGCGAGACAUGUUGGCAGUAAUGCUGCCUUGUUAUUCUUUACUCCGCUGAGAUAUUUGUGUGGAGAGAAACAUAAAUCUGGCCUACGUGCACGUCCAGGCAUAGUACCUUCCCUUGAACUUAAUAAUGAUAUGGAUUCUUUUGCUCACGUGUUUGUUUUUGUUGUUGCUGUUGAACUUCCCCUUAUUAUCACCCUGCUCCCCUACUGCAUUCCUUUGUGCUGUAAUAAUGAUAAUCAUAAUCAAUAAAAACUGAGGGAACUCAGAGGCCGGUGCCGGUGCAGGUCCUAGGUGUGCUGAGUGCCGGUCCCCUGGACCCACUGUUGUCUCCCU
rnacentral:lncRNA from 1 species